rnacentral:rRNA from 1 species
AUUGAACGCUGGCGGCAUGCCUUACACAUGCAAGUCGAACGGUAACAGGUCUUCGGAUGCUGACGAGUGGCGAACGGGUGAGUAAUACAUCGGAACGUGCCCGAGAGUGGGGGAUAACGAGGCGAAAGCUUUGCUAAUACCGCAUACGAUCUCAGGAUGAAAGCAGGGGACCGCAAGGCCUUGCGCUCACGGAGCGGCCGAUGGCAGAUUAGGUAGUUGGUGGGAUAAAAGCUUACCAAGCCGACGAUCUGUAGCUGGUCUGAGAGGACGACCAGCCACACUGGGACUGAGCCACGGCCCAGACUCCUACGGGAGGCAGCAGUGGGGAAUUUUGGACAAUGGGCGCAAGCCUGAUCCAGCCAUGCCGCGUGCAGGAUGAAGGCCUUCGGGUUGUAAACUGCUUUUGUACGGAACGAAAAGACUCUGGUUAAUACCUGGGGUCCAUGACGGUACCGUAAGAAUAAGCACCGGCUAACUACGUGCCAGCAGCCGCGGUAA